ACGCAAUGGAAUUCUACUCGUCAUUAAAAAGGAAGGAGUCACCGAUGCAGGCGGCAGCAAGGAAGAAUUCCAAAUAGCCAAGGCCACAGCCUAGAAACUUCUCUUUGGAGGCUAAGACUGCAGCACCCAGCUGAGCAGACAGGACAGUCUGAGAAGCUAAGUGGCCGGCUGGACAUUCCCCUCACAGAAGAAAGGCCAUGUGCAGAUGCAAUGAGAAGAGAGCCAUUCCAUCUACAAGCCAGGGAAGAGAGGCUUCACCAGACACCAACCCUGAAGGCACCUUGACCUUGGACGUCCAGCCUCCAGGACCGUGAAGAUAUAAAUGUCUGUGAUUUAGGCAGCCCAGUCUGUGGUAUUUUAUUACGGCAGUCCAAGCCCCAGUGAAGUAGACAGACGUGGGUUCUAAUCCCUGCUCUAUAUUCCAUGAGUUAUGCAGCCUUGGGAAAGUUACUUACCUACUCUGACCUCCAACUUCCUUAUCUGUUGAAAGGGCCGCUUCACAGGGCUGUUGUGAAGAUGGAAGGCCCCAUGGUAGGGAGCCCGAAUAGUGUCCAGCACCGAGGGCACCACAGAGGGUUCAACAACUGCGCAGGCCCUCUGAAAGACUUAUGAAAAGGAUGACCACUCUGCACUUUUGGAGGCCAAGGUGGGCAGAUCACCUGAGGUCAGGAGUUCAAGACCAGCCUGGCCAACAUGGUGAAACCCCAUCUCUACUAAAAAUACAAAAAUCAACCGGGUAUGGUGGUGGGCGCCUGUAGUCCCAGCUACUUGGGAGGCUGAGGCGGGAAGAUUGCUUGAACCCAGGAGGCCGAGGUUGCAGUGAGCUGAGAUCGCACCACUGCACUCCUGCCUGGGUGACAGAGUGAGACUCUGUCUCAAAAAAAAAAAAAAAAAAAAGAUGACCACUCUCCUCUCAAACGCUUAAUCUCUGGAGAUAGAGCAGCCCUGCAGUUAUAAUUGUGACUAAUAGGGCACCACGUGGUAUUUUUCUAAACUCUGCUUGCUGUUAGUCAUGCUCCCAGAGGAACGGUCGGCGUUAAUGCAUCCCAUGGGCAUAUUCCUUUGUGAAAUGUUUGGCUUUGCCUUGAAACCAUAUUAUGCUCCAAAGUGGAGCCACACUCUCGUGUUUGUGACUUAGUCACCAGAAGCCCUCACAACCUGAUGUUUUAGAGCACGCAUGUCCUCUCUCCAGCCUAAAACAGCCUAAGCUCUAUUCUGUCAUUGAAAACAAGAAGCCAACCUUGUCUGCCCAUUCUGUGAGGCAGAUGCUGCCAGGCUUAGUGGUAGAACCAGGGACUCCUGCUUAGUGAAGGUCUUCCUCUCAGCAGUGUGGUCCAGCAGCCAGGAACAAAAGCCUACGUGGCUUUGCAAGCAGGAGGAGAACAUUUGGGGCAUUUUCUUAUCAAAGAGCACUUUGCAGCACUGUCCAGCUCUCCUGGACUCCGUGGGGCAUGAGGCAAGGUUGGAAAUAUGGAAGACAGGGAAGGAUGCACAGGCUGGUUUGGGGUCUCUUCUCUGGGCUCCCCUGCCUCUGAGCUCUCCACCCUGCACGCCCUGCCUCCAGGCUUCUCAAGGCCUGUUCCCUGCCUCCCAGGGCAGGGCGGUUCCCCAGCAGCUGUUGAUUGGAUGUAAAUGCAAAACUCCUCUACUUCCUUCCUGUGGAGGAGCCAUCUCUUGGCCACUGGGACACAGGGAUAUUUGUUGAGUGAAGGGAACACAAUGCAGAGUCCAAAGCGAUGAUUUGGACCUGGGUUUCAGUUCUACCCACGCCCACAGUUCCCCAGUUCCCUGUUUUCUCUAGGGGAGCUCCCUGCAACUGCCGCAAUGAGACAACUGGGAAAUCCCUUUGUUGGCCGUGCACGGUGGCUCACACCUGUACUCCCAGCACUUUGGGAGGCCAAGGCAGGCGGCUUUGCGCUCAGGAGUUUGAGACAAGCCUGGGAAACACAGUGAAAUCCUGUCUCUACAAAAAAUAUAAAAAUUAGCUGGGUGUGGUGGCAUGCACCUGUGGUCCCAGCUGCUCGAAAGGCCGAGGCUGGGGGAUCGCUUGAACCUGGGAGGCAGAGGUUGCCGUGAGCCAAGAUCGCACCACCGCACUCCAGCCUGGUUGACAGAGUGAGACCCUGUCUG